rnacentral:rRNA from 1 species
UCCUCAAAGGAUCACUCAAAAAGUAAUAGUUUGCAGAAAAAAUGCUUUAAAAGGAACAAAAAAUCCAAAAGAAGGCAAAUCCAGCUUUUCUUUGA